AUGAAGUCUACACUGGCCUUGGGCUCAGAGAUCCACCUGCCUCUGUCUCCUGAGUGCUGGGAUUAAAGAGGAAGUGGAGAAGCAGAAACGAAGCCAGAGAUGAUGGUGCUGAGAGGGAGGAACCGUCUGACCUUAGAGAAGCUGAUGAUGAACCUCAGACAUGGGUUGGCUGCAUACAGGACAGGGUGUGAUGUGGUUCUAGUUGGAGGAUGCUCAUUUCUCUUCUGUGAAUGAGGCCCAUCUGCCCAAGGACCGGUCGUGAGGAAGCUGCUGAAGGUGGGCACUGCUGGCUGAAGAAUAUGGACCAACUAGGGGACAGAGGCUGCAUCGGAGAGUGUGAAUGUUUGUGUCACUAGCUUUCCAAUUGUACCAUCCUUAAUAAGAUGGAGAGGAGAGAGCAAGGUAUUCCCCUGUUUUGCCUAUGCGCAAUCAACAGCAAUAAAUAAUAAUAAUAAAA
rnacentral:lncRNA from 1 species